GUAGUCUUUACCAGCCUGAUAUCUGUCUUCUGCUCACUGACAACAGAGGAGAGGCAUCUUUAAAGACGACGUCCGUCUUCAUUAGAGAUGAGAGGAGCAGCUAUGAGUUUAACUGCAGCAGCGAGUGGAUUUGUUGUCUUCCUUCUCUCUGUGUCAGUGAUACAGGGUCAGCAUGGCUGGGGAGUGACUUACACCUCUACUCAGAUCUGUGCUGUAAAAGGAUCAACAGUGAACAUACCCUGCAGCUACACAUACCCAUCCUGGUGGAAAGGUGUUGCUAAUACAGUUAAGUGGAGAUUCUGGUUUAUUCAACAGUUUGAGGAUCUGACAACAGUCUCAGAGUAUUCAGGUCGUGUGCAGUAUCACUCUGAAAACAAGGACUGCUCUCUGAGAAUCUCAGACCUGAGAGAGAGAGACUCAGCUGAGUACAAGUUCAGGUUCACAACAAACCAAGAUGGUUAUACUGGUUUUCCU